rnacentral:rRNA from 1 species
CAGUCGCCGCGGUGAUACGUAGGUGGCAAGCGUUGUCCGGAAUUAUUGGGCGUAAAGCGCGCGCAGGCGGAUCAGUUAGUCUGUCUUAAAAGUUCGGGGCUUAACCCCGUGAGGGGAUGGAAACUGCCAAUCUAGAGUAUCGGGGAGGAAAGUGGAAUUCCUAGUGUAGCGGUGAAAUGCGUAGAUAUUAGGAAGAACACCAGUGGCGAAGGCGACUUUCUGGACGAAAACUGUCGCUGAGGCGCGAAAGCCAGGGGAGCGAACGGGAUUAGAUACCCCCGUAGUCCAUGUCUCUUAUACA